CCUGAGAAACCCAAAAGAUCGAAUGGGGAGAUUCAGCGUCAGCGCAUUUGGUAUAUGUGCAGAUUGCGAUGUGAGUUAUCCUUGUGAUAAUACUUGCACGUAUUUGUAUCAUUUAAUUGCUGAAUGUCGUCGGCGUGCACUUCUCCCCUAGUAGGACGUCGCGACCCGUUGGGUGUCGGUCUACGGCCCAGAUGGUAGUCUUUGAUGUUUGCCGCAAGGUAUUAUUUUGAAGACCACUGGUGUUUUCUGGCCGACUGCCCGGCGGUAUUCGCACGGUAUAAGCCGCUGUUAUGCGUCAAGCUCGCCACAAGCGCGGUCAGUGUUUUCUGGUAUACGGACUUUGUGCCGUCGCUAGGCCUGAUCAGCUGUUAGUUGUGUGAUGUUCUUUGACUGGCUUGUAUUAUUAUCGGU
rnacentral:rRNA from 1 species